GAAUGACGGAUAUAAAGUGCGCCACAACCAAGUGUUCGUUCAUUUUGUGCUCAUUGAGAUGGAGGCAAAAGGUCGAGAUUUGGAGGCGGAAUUAUUUUGAGAUUUGUCGAAAGGCCCCCUUGCGGUGAAGGAUGAUUCUGCCUGGUUUGUGCUGCUUGCAAAGUAAUACAUAAUCACCUAUAUUUAAUGGUUUGACAGCCCUUAUUGGGACAUGGGGUAAAGAGGGGUUCGGUGGGCAGACCUGCAUUGAAGGCACUCCUACAGGUAGGUAAGUAAACGGUUCCCAUAUCUUUAACAGCUACAUGAGCAUUAGCUAAAGCUCAUAUAUGGUAAACUCGAAUCGACCAAUCAUUCAGUUCACUGGUCUAACCAUGGUCCCUGUGAUGAAACCUGCACAUGUCUUACGCCCUGCGUCGGGACCAGAACCUGAAAAGGUGAACCCACUGGUGUCGCCAGGAUAAUAAGGAGACAAUCUGUUGGGGUGCCCAACUGUCUGAUGGGACCAGAACUGAGAUGCCACAUUCAAGGAGGUGUGACCUAAGUCGUGGAUUGCAUGGCUGAAGAAGCAGAUGAGGUCUGCUACAUUGUCGUCUUUGCACAGGAUGGGGAGUGGUCUGAUGUAAUGCUGGAUGAAAUGUUGAAAUAAACCUUUUGUAAACUUGA